rnacentral:rRNA from 1 species
AACGUAGGAUCCGAGCGUUGUCCGGAAUCACUGGGUGUAAAGGGUGCGUAGGCGGGCUUGCGCGUCAAGGGUUAAAGACCUCGGCUCAACCGAGGGAAUGCCCUUGAUACGGCAGGCCUUGAGUGCGGGAGAGGAUGGGGGAAUUCGGGGUGUAGCGGUGAAAAGCGUAGAGAUCAGGAGGAACCCCGAGGGCGAAGGCAGCCAUCUGGACCGCCACUGACUCUGAGGCACGAAAGCGUGGGGAGCAAACAGG